rnacentral:rRNA from 1 species
UACGUAGGGGGCGAGCGUUGUCCGGAAUUAUUGGGCGUAAAGAGCGUGUAGGCGGUUCGGUAAGUCUGCCGUGAAAACCUGGGGCUCAACCCUGGGCGUGCGGUGGAUACUGCCGGGCUAGAGGGUGGUAGAGGCGAGUGGAAUUCCCGGUGUAGCGGUGAAAUGCGCAGAUAUCGGGAGGAACACCAGUAGCGAAGGCGGCUCGCUGGGCCAUUCCUGACGCUGAGACGCGAAAAGCUAGGGGGAGCGAACAGG